AUUUCAUGUUCAUAACCAGAAGUUGUGUAGAUAGGAGCAACCAUCUAAACCGACUGAGGACAGGUGUUCCUCCCUCUGGGGGACCGCUCUCCCCAUCUCAGGUCCCCGAGUGAGGCCCCCUUGACUUUGUGCUCAAGAGCCACCUGCAGCCUGCGCUCCCCUGGCCCCAGCUGCUCUGGGGUCUGCCCCCCGGAGACAGAAGGUCUGCAAGGGCAGGAGGCUCUGUGUGCUCCGUGCAUUCCGGUGGCCCAACGCUGACCUCCGUCCUUAUUCCAUAAAUAUCUGUGGAAGAAUGAAUGAAUGAAUGAAUGAGCCAUAGGAGAAAUAGUUUUUCCUCACUGAAAGAUGGGGCUCUGAGAACGGCUAGCCUUGGAGAGGUGCUCACUUUCCUUCUGCCUGGACGGUUUCCUUGGGGCAGCCCCCAAAGGACAUUUACUGGGCCUGGGAGCGUGUUCUUCCUAAGGCUCCGGAGACACAGCACCGCACGCCGACUUCCACCCAGGUGAUGUUCAUUUCCGCUCGCCCUGGACGGAGGCGUCCAUUCACCCAACCGCCGUCUUCUGGUUUAAGAACCAAAAUUUGACACUUUUGCACAACUGGCACUCCCUGACGUGGCCCCGCUCCCCCGUCACCACCCUGCGCGCUCCGAGACGAAACGUCAGGGCUCAGCGCCCCCUUCCGUGGAUCAAGUCUCCGAAAGCCAAUAUUGGGCCCCAACCAUGCCCUCCUAGGCAUUUAAAACUAGCAGCGAGCGACGAGGGGGCCAAUGCCAAGUCUGUCACCAGCAAGCCAGCGCCUCCAGCAUCCGGGCUGUGCCAAGCUGAACCUCCCCCACGCGGCUCAGCACCAGCCAGGGCUGAGCAAAGCCCGGCUCCUCCCAGCAGGCUGGAAUCUGCCUCUUUGGGCUCAGUGCUCCACCUCUCUGACCAGAGUGCUGGCUGGUCCCUGUCACAGACUUCUGUCCCCAGGAUCCACUAUAUUCCCCCGACCAGCCCCCGACGGAGCCCUGUGAUACGGCCCUUUGGUGAGCUUCAACCGUGUCGACCCCAGACAUAGGCAUGCGGGUCGGUUUUCUAUUUCACACAUGGGGAUUUUCCAUCUGGCCUUCACUGUUGGUGAACAGUCCCUUCUCCCGCUGAGCAAGGAACAAGAGGCAUCGCACGUGAAUUACUAUUAUUGGGAGCUUCCCGGUGAUGGCAGUUCAGGUCCCUGUUCUGUUCUGAGGCCAUUGUGCUACGCUAUUUAAAAGUCCCAGAGAUAGGGACGCCCGGGGGGCUCAGCCGGUUGAGCGUCCAACUUCGGUCG